GCAGGGGGUGGGCGCGUGUGAGUGCCGGCUGUUGGGCCAGCUCUAUUUGGGCCUUAGGUCAAAUCUUUGCCGGGUGUCGGACCCGGAGACACCCGGCAAAGAAUUUUUAAUUUUUUUUUUAAAUAUUUGCCGGGUGUCUCUUAUCUGGCUCGCGGCAAAGGCUUCUUUGCCGGGAGCCAAACUAAGCUCCCGGCAAAUUAUUUUUUUUGUUUUUGUUUUUUGGCUCUAUUUUUUUGUGUGCACUUGAUUACAGUAAAUAAUUUCAUAUUUGAAAUUUUGGCACAAUUUUGAGUUUAUAUACUAUAUUUACUUAAUUUUUUCAUUUCCUUUAAUUUUAUCGAAUAAUGUAAAAUUGAACUACAGGUACAUAAAAUAAUAUAAUUCGGUUAUUCGAAAAAUGAGAUUCAUAAUAUUUAGGAUAUGUCGAGGCCAUAUCUACGAAGUUCCAUGAAUUUUAGCGCAUCAUAUUAUCAUAGCAUGAGAUUAUACUGGCGAGGAAAGUGUAUUUAAAUUAUAUAAAAUUAAAACAAAGUCCGAAAAUCACGAAACUUGUCGAUGUGUCUUGUUAUUGCAUGUGGGGGCCGAGGUAAAAAAAUAAAAAAGUUUGGAGCAAGUUGUGACGUCGGAUGUCUAAAAUCCAGACAUCUCCACAUAUGUGUCACUAACGCUUAGGAACGAGGCGAAUCCGUGGUCUGACUUAAUACGAUGGAGACUCUUGGAUUUUUUUCUCAGACAAUGGAGACUUAUGGAUGGAGGGAAUACUUCAGAGAGAAAACUCCAACACCAAUUUGCCUUGCUUCUCCGUUGAGCUAAAGGAAACACAUUUUUUUACAAAUUAGCAAAGAGAAAAUUUAACAUCAAUCUGCCUUGAUUCUCCAUUGGGUAUUUGGGCUAAAGGAAAGAAUUCAACUCAAUUUCCCUUGAUUCUCCAUUGGGCUAAAGAAAAAACAUUUUUUCAUAAACCUUAUUCUCCGUUGGACUAAAGGAAAGAACUCAACAUCAGUUUGCCUUGAUUCUCCAUUGUGAUAGAGGAAAGAAUUCAACACCAAUUUGCCAUGAUUCUCCAUUGGGCUAAAGAAAAGACACUUUUUACAAGGCCUUUUAAAAAUCAAAGAGAAGAUUCCAACAUCAGAUUGCCUUGAUUCUCCAUUGGACAACAGGAAAGAGUUCUAACAUCAAUUUUGAUUUUCCAUUUUCUCCAUUGGGCGAAAGGAAAGACACACACCUUUUACAAAUAUUUUUAAAAGACCAGCUGAGUUGAACAUGACUCAAACCUAGUAGAUUGUUUGCCGCAUGAUGAUACCUUCCACCCAACCAGUUGAAGCAUACUCACUUUCUUACUUUUGGGAAAUAUUAAAACAGGGAAACAAAAGUUUUCUAUUUAAAUCUUUGGUUAUUUUGGGCUCUUUUUUCUCAACUAAUAAACGUGCUCGUGGAUUGCAACAAAACCAAAUAUAUAGGAAUCAAACUCCCGAUCGUUGCUAGACGUAAGUUGCUCUAAUUCAUCAUGAGUCCAAAUAACAUACAAUAUACGGAGGGCGUGACCCAAUACGUCUUUGAAUCACCUGUACAGACCACCGCUAGAUGCGAAUUGUUGUAACUUGUAUGAGCACGAGUCGGGGUAAGUCCAUAUAUCACAUAGGAUAUGAAACAAGGAGGGCGUGAGUGCAGUUUGAGAAGUAAAAAAUGGGAUAAAAUAUCUACUGCCUGGAUAUUUAGGGAAAAGUGGACAAAAAAUAUGAGAGAAAUUUUACCUCUUUAAUAUAAAAAUUAGAGAAAUAGGGAUUUAAACGGUUACCCCUGCCUUCCUUGGAGGCAUGAGAGAACUGGGUUCAAAAAAUGGUUGGUAUUAU
rnacentral:lncRNA from 1 species